rnacentral:lncRNA from 1 species
CCGGUUCAUCUCCUGGAGCCUUCGAUCCAGGAAAUCCUCUCGACUGUGAGUCUCAAGAGUCUUCUGACAGAAUGGAGGUAGAGAUCUUCUAGGAGUAGAAUCAUGAUCUGACUGAGGGCUCUCCAUCCUCGGAUUCAUCUUUUCGGGAAAGACGAGGCGACUGGCCCAAGUGGCCCGUCCUAUUGUCAGAUUUUGGAGUUUCGACGACGUUCUCUCCAGUCGUACUGACGUCUGCGGCUGUUGCUGCUGCUGCAUGGCCUGCACCGCUUCAGUGAGGCCUCUGACUUGCUGAACUAGUAGGUCGAAUUGCUCCGCGCCAACCGCCAUUGCCGGAGGAGGAGGAGAAACCUGAGAAACUGGAGGUGAGGCCAGAGCCUGAGAUC